CCCUUUCCUGCCGCCCAGGCCUCUAGGCGCUGCUGCUUGGGGCCCAGGGGCUGCAAGGCUUCCCUGGGCCCCGUUCUGUGCCCCCACAGAGCAGCCCCAAGCCAAGACUCCAAGGAAGAGAAAGAACAUCAUGUCUUACUAUGGCUCAGACAUUUACUGAAGGAACUGAGACAGUUUUCCUGUGCCUGGGGGCUGCGGAUGUGUAGGUGAGGACUGGCCUACCGUGAAGCGAUGGUUUCUUCCCCAGCACCUUGUAAAGCGGGUUUGGUGGCAUGAGCCUAUAAUCCCAGCUCUCAGGAGGUAGAGACAGGAAGAUCAGAAGCUCAAAAUUGUCUUUGGCUUUAUAGUGAAUUUGAAGCCAGUCUGAGCUACACAAUACCCUCUCUCAAAAAGUAAAUAAAAAGAAUGGACAGUC
rnacentral:lncRNA from 1 species